rnacentral:rRNA from 1 species
AGCGAACGCUGGCGGCAGGCCUAACACAUGCAAGUCGAACGAAGUCUUCGGACUUAGUGGCGGACGGGUGAGUAACACGUGGGAACGUGCCUUUAGGUUCGGAAUAACUCAGGGAAACUUGUGCUAAUACCGAAUGUGCCCUUCGGGGGAAAGAUUUAUCGCCUUUAGAGCGGCCCGCGUCUGAUUAGCUAGUUGGUGAGGUAAAGGCUCACCAAGGCGACGAUCAGUAGCUGGUCUGAGAGGAUGAUCAGCCACAUUGGGACUGAGACACGGCCCAAACUCCUACGGCAGGCAGCAGUGGGGAAUCUUGCGCAAUGGGCGAAAGCCUGACGCAGCCAUGCCGCGUGAAUGAUGAAGGUCUAGGAUUGUAAAAUUCUUUCACCGGGGACGAUAAUGACGGUACCCGGAGAAGAAGCCCCGGCUAACUUCGUGCCAGCCGCCGCGGUAACAC